UAGGGAAUCUUCCGCAAUGGACGCAAGUCUGACGGAGCAACGCCGCGUGAGUGAAGAAGGAUUUCGGUUCGUAAAACUCUGUUGUUAGAGAAGAACAGCGCAUAGAGUAACUGUUAUGCGUGUGACGGUAUCUAACCAGAAAGCCACGGCUAACUACGUUCCAGCAGCCGCGGUAAUACGUAGGUGGCAAGCGUUGUCCGGAUUUAUUGGGCGUAAAGCGAGCGCAGGCGGUCAAUUAAGUCUGAUGUGAAAGCCCCCGGGUCAACCGGGGAGAGUGAUUGGAGACUGGUUAACUUGAGUGAAGAAGGGGAGAGUGGGAUUCCAUGUGAAGCGGUGAAAUGCGUAGGUAUAUGGAGGAACACCAGUGGCGAAGGCGACUCUCUGGUCUGUAACAGACGCUGAGGCUCGAAAGCGUGGGUAGCAAACAGG
rnacentral:rRNA from 1 species